GACUCAGUGAAAUUGAACUCGCUGUGAAGAUGCAGUGUACCCGCGGCAAGACGGAAAGACCCCGUGAACCUUUACUAUAGCUUGACACUGAACAUUGAGCCUUGAUGUGUAGGAUAGGUGGGAGGCUUUGAAGUGUGGACGCCAGUCUGCAUGGAGCCGACCUUGAAAUACCACCCUUUAAUGUUUGAUGUUCUAACGUGGACCCGUAAUCCGGGUUGCGGACAGUGUCUGGUGGGUAGUUUGACUGGGGCGGUCUCCUCCUAAAGAGUAACGGAGGAGCACGAAGGUUGGCUAAUCCUGGUCGGACAUCAGGAGGUUAGUGCAAUGGCAUAAGCCAGCUUGACUGCGAGCGUGACGGCGCGAGCAGGUGCGAAAGCAGGUCAUAGUGAUCCGGUGGUUCUGAAUGGAAGGGCCAUCGCUCAACGGAUAAAAGGUACUCCGGGGAUAACAGGCUGAUACCGCCCAAGAGUUCAUAUCGACGGCGGUGUUUGGCACCUCGAUGUCGGCUCAUCACAUCCUGGGGCUGAAGUAGGUCCCAAGGGUAUGGCUGUUCGCCAUUUAAAGUGGUACGCGAGCUGGGUUUAGAACGUCGUGAGACAGUUCGGUCCCUAUCUGCCGUGGGCGCUGGAGAACUGAGGGGGGCUGCUCCUAGUACGAGAGGACCGGAGUGGACGCAUCACUGGUGUUCGGGUUGUCAUGCCAAUGGCACUGCCCGGUAGCUAAAUGCGGAAGAGAUAAGUGCUGAAAGCAUCUAAGCACGAAACUUGCCCCGAGAUGAGUUCUCCCUGAGACUUA
rnacentral:rRNA from 1 species